AGAACAGUGAUUACUCAUGCAGCCUGGAUUACUUUCAACCGACACAGUUUCUCGUGCAGGAAUUCCUGAUCCAGGGCCGAGGUUAAGGGCUUGUUUGGAGAACUGAGUCCAGAUACACAGACAGACUAAUUAAGAGUUGGUUUGCAGUAUGGCAGUGUUGGUUCCAGAGGUUUACUCCCUGACUCCAAUUCACAUCCUUUUUCCCAGAAUCAUGGAAAGAUCACAGGACAGGAGGCCAUUUCAUACAUCGUCAGAGCAGAUCGGACGUUGGAAGUGGAUGUUUUCAAAAAAAAAAAUCACAACACACUCUGAUGGUGACAUUUGAAUAAUCAGGAUCUGGGUGUUAUCAGACUUUGAAUGGUUGAUUUACAAUUAGCAGAUUUAUACAAAACCACAUUCAGGUCUGACAGGCAUUCUGUUUAUUGGAACCAAAUUAUCAAAGGAUUUUGAACAUGGAAGGAAAAAACGCUUUCCAACACUGGGGAGAAACACACCUACUGUGUGUGUGAAAGAGUCUGCCAGCAUUUAUCUGAAAUGUCCAAACACCAGUGCAGUCACACAGGAGACUGGGAAUGCAGGAGUUGUGGGAAGGGAUUUUUUUUACCCAUCCUAGCUGGAAACUCACCAACAGUUACACUGGGGAGAGGCUAUUCACCUGCCCCGAUUGUGGGAAGACAUUCACAGAAUCAUCUGACCUGCUGAACACCAGCGAGUUCACACUGGGGAGAAACUGUUCACCUGCUCUGUGUGUGGGAAGGGAUUCAGUCAGACAUCCAACCUGGUAACACCCCAGCGAGUUCAGACUGGAGAGAGACCAUUCACUUGCUCUGAUUUUGGGAUAGCAUUCACUCAAUCAUCCAACCUGUUGAGACAUCAGCGAACUUCGUAAAUAACCACAGUUGAAGGAUUUGUUUUCUCUUAUUCACACCAAGGAAUGAACAAUGGUCUUUGUCAGUUAAAAUGUUAAUAAAAUUGUGGAUCUGGA